CGUAGGGUGCAAGCGUUAAUCGGAAUUACUGGGCGUAAAGCGUGCGCAGGCGGUUAUGCAAGACAGAUGUGAAAUCCCCGGGCUCAACCUGGGAACUGCAUUUGUGACUGCAUAGCUAGAGUACGGUAGAGGGGGAUGGAAUUCCGCGUGUAGCAGUGAAAUGCGUAGAUAUGCGGAGGAACACCGAUGGCGAAGGCAAUCCCCUGGACCUGUACUGACGCUCAUGCACGAAAGCGUGGGGAGACAAACAGGAUUAGAUACCCUGGUAGUCCACGCCCUAAACGAUGUCAACUGGUUGUUGGGAGGGUUUACUUCUCAGUAACGUAGCUAAACGCGUGAAGUUGACUGCCUGGGGAGUACGGCCGCAAGGUUG
rnacentral:rRNA from 1 species